rnacentral:rRNA from 1 species
CAAUAGCGUAUAUUUAAGUUGCUGCAGUUAAAAAGCUCGUAGUUGGAUUUCGGGUGGGAAUGGCCGGUCCGCCGUUUCGGUGUGCACUUGCUACGCCCACCUUGCUGCCGGGGACGUGCUCUUGAGUUCACGCUCGGGACACGGAGUCGGCGAGGUUACUUUGAGUAAAUUAGAGUGUUCAAAGCAGGCCUACGCUCUGAAUACAUUAGCAUGGAAUAACACGAUAGGACUCUGGCCUAACUUGUUGGUCUGUAGGACCGGAGUAAUGAUUAAGAGGGACAGUCGGGGGCAUUCGUAUUUCAUUGUCAGAGGUGAAAUUCUUGGAUUUAUGAAAGACGAACUACUGCGAAAGCAUUUGCCAAGGAUGUUUUCAUUAA